rnacentral:misc_RNA from 1 species
AACGCACCUUGCGCUCCCGGCAGAUCUAAUCUGGGGAGCAUGCCUGUUUGAGGGCCGCGAAUUGUUUCGAACGACAGCUUUUUUCUUUUGGAAAAGGUCGACGGAUUGGUAUUGAGGGUUUUUGCCAUUUACCGUGGCUCCCUCGAAAUAGAUUAGCGCAUCCAUUUUAUAGGCAAGACGGACGAAAGCUCGAUUUUUGCUCUCUCUUCCCUGCCGGGUUCUGAUACUAUCAGGACUUCGGAGAGGUUGAGAUGGGUAGGAGCUGGACGCAACGGCUUGCUGUUUGGAGUGCUUCUGAAACCCGCCCAUGCCGAGUUUUUUUAGGAAGCCAGGAAGGGAUUUAUAAUAAUUCAUCGGCCUCAGAUUGGUAGGACUACCCGCUGAACUUAA